CACACACACGUUUAUUAAUUACUCAGUCACAAAAUACAGUUAGUUUGAUCAUGGCACCCAGGCUCCCUGCUACAUCACUUGUCAAGAUGGCUAAAAACAUUCCUUCCUGUUGCACACCAGGACUGAAUGGGAACAAGCAAACACAGUGCAUUCUAGAACCUCAUCAGGCACAACGACCAGUGCAAGCAGCGUACGGACUGGCAUUUUCCUGACCUCGAAACUCACUUUGCGGGCCUGUGUGGUAUUUUGGUGACCAGCACAGAGCACAUGAUGCACAGGGGCAUAUCUACAGGGGGUAAGGGGCAAGUCACCAAUAUGCUCCUAAGCUGUCCAAAGCUUAGGAAGAAGAAAAUCUAUAAUUCAUAAUGCCCACUUUGGCCCCUGAAAACAGUCACAGUGAGUCCACUGUCAGCCUGCACACAAGACAUGGAGCACAUGAGAGCUGCUGCUGCAUCUGGAGAUCAGGAAGAGAUCAGGAAAUGAGAGAAAGAGAAGAAGUGAACUGGAGAGGAACUGAAUGUGGGGGAUGAAGAACUGUGAAGAGUGAGAGUUGAGACAGUGGAAACACAGGGAGACCGGUGCUCUGUUGCUGAAUUUUAGUGAAGUCAGCCAAACUACUUUUGAAUCAGACGAUGGUACAACCUCCUCUUCUGUCCCCUACAGCAGUCAAUGGAGAAGCUCCAUGGUGCGCUAGGAUUUUAUAACUUAACUAUGACCAUGAACAUACAUACUUCUUAUUUCUCUAUCUCUGUGGAAAUAUGAUGUUUCAUAUCACAAAAGGUGAACCAAGGCAUUCAAAUGUGAAUCUUGCAGGUAAAACAUGA